rnacentral:lncRNA from 1 species
GAUAACAACCCGGUUAGAUGUAAAACCAAGCCCAUAUGCCAAAAUCAGAUUCGUUUGAAGAACAAUUUGUCUUGAAGAACCCUAGAAACGAGAAUCCAACUUGUUAUUUUCUCACGUAAUCUUAUUUCAUAUGGAAUUAAGAUUGAUUAAAUUUGACUUCCGUUUUAGGAGCAACCUCGAAGAUGAACAUCAUCAUUACGAUCUUAGAAUUGAGAUUUUCUGAGAAUUUCCACCUUAAUUGUUUUGGUUGUCUUCUAGAAUUAUGUCCAUCGCGCUGCAAAUGUGACGAAAUCAUUAGCCAAAGUCUGAAUCUAAUGAUUAGAGGAGAACAUAAAUAUGAUGCGAUGCUGGCGAGGAAGGAGGGACCGAUAUUCAGAGAUUUCCAAAGAUGAAAGAGGCAGAUCCUAAUAAUGUGCGUCAAUGGAGGUUAAUUAAAUUUGGCUUUGGAGCUGGUGCUUUGGUGAUUUAAACAUAUUGGUGAUUUGGUGAUUUAAACAAAUUUGGUGAUUUGGUGAAAGCUACGAAGCCAUUAAAGUGGUUUGGUGAAGAAGAAGAAGUGGUGAAGCCAUUAAAGAGAUUCGGUGAAGAAGAAGAAGAAUUUGGGUGACUUAUGGUUGGGUUUUAGAUUGGGUCUGGGUUUUAAUUUCGGUUAUGUUGAGUUUGUUUGGUUUUCUAUCAGGUUUAGUUCGUAAACCGAUUUAACCCAGCUCCGUGGAGUUUUAGCUCUCUAAUUAUUGACUCGGGGACAUUAAGGUAUGAAACUUUCAAUUGGGAGGUAAAUAGGAAUAGAACUUUGAUUUUAUGGACAUAUGGACCGAGAUUAAAGUUUGGGCUCUAUCUGGUAUGAUAUCAAUAGUUUUCGUGGGGAAAUAAACCGUUUUUCCGAAAAAAACUAAUUCAAGAAUUGAAAUCUCAUAAACAAGAAAUUAUUCAAAAUAUACC